rnacentral:rRNA from 1 species
UACGAAGGGUGCUAGCGUUGCUCGGAAUCACUGGGCGUAAAGCGUGCGCAGGCGGAUAUGCAAGUCAGGUGUGAAAUCCCCAGGCUUAACCUGGGAACUGCAUUUGAAACUGCUUAUCUGGAGUAUGAGAGAGGAAAGGGGAAUUCCUAGUGUAGAGGUGAAAUUCGUAGAUAUUAGGAGGAACACCAGUGGCGAAGGCGCCUUUCUGGCUCAUUACUGACGCUCAUGCACGAAAGCGUGGGGAGCAAAC